UACGGAGGGUGCAAGCGUUAUCCGGAUUUAUUGGGUUUAAAGGGUGCGUAGGCGGUUUGAUAAGUCAGCGGUGAAAUAUUUCAGCUUAACUGGAAGGGUGCCGUUGAUACUGUCGAGCUUGAAUUUAGUUGCUGUGGGUGGAAUGUGUGGUGUAGCGGUGAAAUGCAUAGAUAUCACACAGAAUAUCGAUUGCGAAGGCAGCUCACAAAGCUAAUAUUGACGCUGAUGCACGAAAGUGUGGGGAUCAAACAGGAUUAGAAACCCUUGUAGUCC
rnacentral:rRNA from 1 species